AGCAAACGCUGGCGGCGUGCCUAAUACAUGCAAGUCGAACGGGGAAAGUAGCAAUACGAGUACUAGUGGCGCACGGGUGAGGAACACGUGGGUAAUCUGCCUUCGAGCGGGGGAUAACUAGUCGAAAGAUUAGCUAAUACCGCAUAAGACCACAAUGUCUGUGGACAAAGGGGUCAAAGUCGCAAGACACUUGAAGAUGAGCCCGCGUAAGAUUAGCUAGUUGGUGAGGUAAUGGCUCACCAAGGCGAUGAUCUUUAGCUGGUCUGAGAGGAUGAUCAGCCACACUGGAACUGAGACACGGUCCAGACUCCUACGGGAGGCAGCAGUAGGGGAAUAUUGGACAAUGGGCGCAAGCCUGAUCCAGCCAUGCCGCGUGAGUGAUGAAGGCCUUAGGGUUGUAAAGCUCUUUUGCCGGGGACGAUAAUGACGGUACCCGGAGAAUAAGUCCCGGCUAACUUCGUGCCAGCCGCCGCGGUAA
rnacentral:rRNA from 1 species